ensembl:snRNA U6 U6 spliceosomal RNA
GGGCUUACUUCAGUAGCACACCUGCUAAAAUUGAAACAAUGAAGAAAAGAUUAACACGGCUCCAACGCGAGUAUGAGAUGCAAAUUUCUGGAGUGUCCCAUAUUUUU